UACGAAGGGUGCAAGCGUUAAUCGGAAUUAUUGGGCGUAAAGAGCUCGUAGGCGGUUUGUCACGUCUGCUGUGAAAUCCCGAGGCUCAACCUCGGGCCUGCAGUGGGUACGGGCAGACUGGAGUGCGGUAGGGGAGAUUGGAAUUCCUGGUGUAGCGGUGGAAUGCGCAGAUAUCAGGAGGAACACCGAUGGCGAAGGCAGAUCUCUGGGCCGUAACUGACGCUGAGGAGCGAAAGCGUGGGGAGCGAACAGG
rnacentral:rRNA from 1 species